GCAAGGCGUUAUGAACGAGCAAGAAAACGUUCAGAGCCACUAGGCUGCGUCGGCUCCUCAUUUGAAAGGAAUGGCUUUCCUGCAUGACAUGGACCUCUCAGCAAGCAAGAUGGCGGAACUAUGUGCAACUCUGCUACCUAAAGGUAGCAUACACACUUGCUCAUCUUUCCACCCGACACAUACAUUGGGUGAUCCUGCAGGUCCGUAUGUCACCAGCCCUUUCUGCAAGAUGUCCUCGGUCAACCUAACGCAGCCGCAGUCCAUCUUCAUGCUAGUGACCUUCUCGUUUCGAUGAACCCUUGCUUGAAGAUCCGCAAUGAUUCGCCUUGGCGACUUGUGCAUCUGGCACAUUCAAAGAAGCUCUGCUCGUUCGCUUACGUCACCCACCCUUUGCUUCUGGAACUGCCGGGGUCGAACAUCCUUCAUAAGAGUAUUGGGACUCUAUGCUUGGCGGUCUGCAGUGACACGGCCCCUCGACCUUCAAUCUCGCCGAUAGACGCUGCAUACAAACCCGCAUAGCCUUCCACGUCCAGCCUGUGCCUCUUGGGGGGCAAGACCAUCCCUGUCCUGCUGCCAG